UACGUAGGGGGCAAGCGUUGUCCGGAAUCAUUGGGCGUAAAGAGCGUGUAGGCGGCCCGGUAAGUCCGCUGUGAAAGUCCAGGGCUCAACCCUGGAAUGCCGGUGGAAACUGUCGGGCUAGAGUCCGGAAGAGGCGAGUGGAAUUCCCGGUGUAGCGGUGAAAUGCGCAGAUAUCGGGAGGAACACCAAUGGCGAAGGCAGCUCGCUGGGACGGUACUGACGCUGAGGCGCGAAAGCGUGGGGAGCAAACAGG
rnacentral:rRNA from 1 species